rnacentral:rRNA from 1 species
CCUACGGGAGGCAGCAGUCGAGAAUCAUUCACAAUGGGGGAAACCCUGAUGGUGCGACGCCGCGUGGGGGAAUGAAGGUCUUCGGAUUGUAAACCCCUGUCAUGUGGGAGCAAAUGAAAAAGAUAGUACCCCAAGAGGAAGAGACGGCUAACUCUGUGCCAGCAGCCGCGGUAAUACAGAGGUCUCAAGCGUUGUUCGGAAUCACUGGGCGUAAAGCGUGCGUAGGCUGUUUCGUAAGUCGUGUGUGAAAGGCGCGGGCUCAACCCGCGGACGGCACAUGAUACUGCGAGACUAGAGUAAUGGAGGGGGAACCGGAAUUCUCGGUGUAGCAGUGAAAUGCGUAGAUAUCGAGAGGAACACUCGUGGCGAAGGCGGGUUCCUGGACAUUAACUGACGCUGAGGCACGAAGGCCAGGGGAGCGAAAGGGAUUAGAUACCCGAGUAGUC